UCGCGUGAGAAAAAUACUCAUUCAUAGCACAAUCAGGCAUCCUCGCUCGCGAACAUCAAUCGGCGGGAGUAACUAUAAAACGCAUGCCCCGUACACGUUCAUUCAUAAUUUUGUGCUUACUCCACACGUGCAAUCAUGGACCUCACAAAGCAGGCGAUAUACUUAACUGCUCUUGCAGCAACCUUCUGCAUUCUCUCAGUUGAAGCUGAGGAAAAGAUCGAGAAGAAAUCGGCCGAAACAGAAACCAAAAACGAUCUUCAGCCGGAGGCUUCAGCACGAUUCUUCGGCUAUGGAGAUAAUUACGGUAGCGGCUACGGUGGAUACGGCAAAUACGGCGGAUACGGUGGUUACGGCACCGGUUAUGGCACAGGAUACGGAGGCGGUUACGGAGGUGGUUACGGAGGCGGUUACGGAGGCUACGGUGGUAGCUACGGUGGAUACAGAGGUUACCCAGGUUACGGCAGUUACGGCGGCAGUAGUUACUACAACAGUGGAACCCCAGUUACAACAGGUACGGUGGUUACGGAGGCUAUGGAGGCUACAAUAACUACGGCGGCGGAUACGAAGCGAGUAUCUCGGCACCGGCUACGGAGGUGGAUACGGUGGAUACGGAGGUUAUAAUGGAUAUCGCGGAGGAUACGGUGGCUAUGGUGGCUACGGAAGCAACGGCGGUUACGGAAGUUACGGUGACUACAAUAGUUGGUAAAACUAACAGUUUUGACGAUAUGAACAAUUCUCUUCCAGGUCUCUGCGCUACAAGUUGCUAUUUACUGCCAUUUUUCGCAUUAUUCCUAAAAAUCACCAUUAGGGUAAAACUGUUAUUUUUGAUCAUUUCACAUGUGAAAGUAGGUAUUUCCUCCCCGAAAUUAUUUUUAACAGCUUUUCAUUAUUUUUAAACUGACGCUUGCAGUCUUUACUAGUCACUAUCAUCAAUGUUCACUCGCUCUCUUUCCCUCUUCUUCCCUCCCCUUAUGAAUGGUUAUUUUAAGAAAGUGCUUUGAGAUCUCCUAUGGCAUUUCGUCUUUGCUCCGCAGACUAUUCCGAAUGCAGAUCUACAAAGAUCCGAACCAGAGAAUGGAGACGAAGUUUUUUGUUCCUACCCUCUACAAAUUCACUAAAUUAUCACAAUAAUUUUAUUUUUUAACCAGCAGACUUGCUCUACAUCCUGUGGGAAGUCUCUCAUUCGGAACCUCUCAUUAAAUGUUGAAGGGUCCUCAAGGGGGCGAUUUUUUUCUUCUUCUUUUUUUCUUGCGAUUGCCAUUCUCACAAUUUCUCUACACUCUUGUGAACCACAAAAAAAUGAUCAAAAUUCGAACCAAACCUGUGAAUCUAUAUUAGAUUUAAUUUAACAUGCUUUUCACAUCGUACUUGUAGCGUUCAUACAUCGUUUCAUCGCUUUUCUGUGUUCAACAUUAGGUUUAUUUUUUGUAACGCUAUUCCUUUUGUAAAUUUUAGUUACCAAUUGUGAAUAAAUUGUCUAAUUUAUAUUUUCCAUUGUUAUUAUUGCCUCCAUGCAGUGCAUGUGUCAAAAUGUCAAACUUGUGUUUUAAUGUAAUCAGGGCCAGAUUAGCUCUGGGGGGGGGGGGUUUGUAUGCUUGCAGGUAAAAGAGACCGCACGUUGUGGGUUGUAUACUUCGUACAUUGAAGGCGGUUUACGUUUCCAAGUAUACGAAGGGUCCCAUGCCCUCACUUUGGGUCCAGGAGAUAAAGGAAAUCCUGACUCAUGGGCCUUGAGGCCUCUGUGAAAAGAGCUCUGGUUUGUGAGGGGCCGCAAAAAUCAUAAUUCCUGAAGUCCGUAAAAAUUUCAGCCUCAGAUUCUCCAGGACUCUAAUAUUACGGGCAAAAACUUUACGGGCCAUGACCUCUGAAAUCCUAGUUUCAGGACCUCUCCAAUCCUCCAAAAUUUCUGAGCCUCCAGAGGCUCCAAACAGAUUUGAUCGGACCACUCGCAGAGGGAAAAAAAUUAAAAUAAUAUUAGGAAAAAAAAAACCCUUUUAGCUUGUCUCGUAGAGCCGGAGGCCUACCACUAUAGCUAAUCCGACCCUGAAUGAAAAAUCCAUCUUUGAUACAUUUUGGACGGAAGAAACAUUAUCUAGAGAUUCAUUUGCUGACAAAGACAGGAAACAGAAAAAUGAAAGAAUGGAAAGAAAUGUAACUUCAAUUUUUAAAUUGCAUUUUAGGUAAAUUUUAAAAAAGCUCCGGAUGAAGCUCAAUUUUUUUUCUUAACAAUAUGGAUAUAUUUUAACAGCAGGAUCAAAAUAAUUGUUCAUUGCUUAUAAUCACAGGCAGAUAUUGUUCUAAUUUUAUUCAGUUCUCAAAUAUGGACAUGGGAGAAAUUCAGAGGUGUUUUUCAACUUAGCAUAAUUCAGGAAUUUGGUGUUUCCAACUUAAUAGGAAUAUACUGCUUUGAAAUUAUGCCACUCACAGUUUUCGAAUUUUCGAUUGACAUCGGUUUAUUAUUCUCGCUUGUUUAAAAAGAAUUUAUGCUACUUUUUGGAACCUAUCCAAUAAUCCAUGUAUUCGAUACAGUUUUUUUUAAAAAACGGAAAAAACCAUCGAGUUAGAAGACAGUUCCCCUCUCCCCAUAUCGUCGGAGCAUACAAAAUGAAUAAAAAGUUAUAGAUAACAGUUAGUCUUAUUUUUAGAAAGUCAAUCCAAUAAAAAAGUUUUGCACUUGGUGCAAAACUGAGUGUUGUUGGAAUCAAAUUAUUAAAGUUCUCAUUAAUAAACUGUUGUCUCUUAGGCAUUUUUCAGCAAAUUUCCGAGAUGAAUUUUACCACGUCAAGUAGAAAGGAACCAAGCCACAUCAGCUAUUGUCAAAUUUAAUUGGGCAAUUUGAUUUUUUCCAUGAAAACGGUUGUGCGGAUUCUUUUUAUAGAUUUUAGUGUAUUUUCUGUUUGGUAGUAAGCAAAUUCCUAAAUAAUUUUGAAAAUGUCUGCACAAACGUGUUCUCGUAAAAAUUUAAAUUUCUCCGUUAAAUUUGGCAGUAGCUGAUGUUGCUUUGUUCCUUUCCCCUAAACGAGGUCCAAUUAGUUCAAAACUAAAAAUCGCCCCUUUCGCACUUUUUAAGAAGACUCCAUAGUUACAUUUUAGAUUGGAGUCACGGCAGAAACCUUUUAAACAUUGUCAUAAUAUUACAUCUAAUGUAGCACCAAAAAGCAAGAGCAAAAGAAUCACAAAUCAUGAUUACCGAAAUUCCUAGAAUUCCGAGGGCACUAAGUAAGUGCCCAAGCGGAAUGCAAGUCUCACAUUCAAUGUUUCAUUUAUUGCUCGAGCGUUUUCCUUGUGAACGGUGGCGAGGCGUAAAUGAUCGAUAAUCGAUAUUUCCCCAUUUGAGGUUAUGGUAAAGAAUCGAUCAUUAAGGUGUUCGUUGCGAACACCCUGUUUAUCGAUCCUUUUCCAUGGGUUUAAAUGACAGAUCAUUCGAUAUCUCGCAAAGCACGCCACGCCGCUGCGCGUGAACUGUCUUUUCAUUUUAUAAACAAGCACGGUUCUAUAAUAAGCAUGUAUACAAGUAUAUAAAGCUAAUUGAAAGCUCGUUUGCAAUAUCACAAAUAAUCCGGAUCGUGGAUUUAAAAAAAGAUGCAGCAAGUCAAUCAAAGUCAACGCGGUAUCAUUUGUACAUCUGGGCGGGAGGGGGUGGCUGCGAUUUCAGUUCCUGUUUCGCCUGUUGACGAUCGAGGAUACCUUGCACGCUGUGCUUGAUUCCGUAGGUGAAGUAAAUGACAAAACCUGAAAAGUGAUGGAAACAUUAGAAGAGAAAGAAUAAUAAUUGUUGCAGUUUUGCAUGAAUGCCGUUUGUUACUUUUUACAAACCGUGUAUCGCAGGCAAUCACAGCGGUCUUGAAACAAAACAAAAUGCGACAAAAAUGUACCCAAAAACGGUUUUCUGGGGGUGACUCCGGUGCGUGAGACCUUAGAAUCGUGCAAAAUCAAAAUCUUGGCUGGUCCUAAUUACGGGAUACCGCAAUUUGAAAUUUUCAUAGUGAAUGCAUGUUUACUUCUGACUUUGAUCAGCUUUUUUAUUUAUUUGUCCUUGGAAUCUGUGUUGAUCGGUUCACGUUUUUAUUCUUCGUUCGAUUCAUUUCAAUCGAAUACAUACCCAUUCGUCACACGCAGACUUCCUACCAUACCCUUUUCCUUAACGGAACCAUUUGCCUUCUAC
rnacentral:lncRNA from 1 species